rnacentral:rRNA from 1 species
UACGAAGGGGGCUAGCGUUGUUCGGAAUCACUGGGCGUAAAGGGCGCGUAGGCGGCUUUAUAAGUCGGGGGUGAAAGCCUGUGGCUCAACCACAGAAUUGCCUUCGAUACUGUAGAGCUUGAGACCGGAAGAGGUAAGUGGAACUGCGAGUGUAGAGGUGAAAAUUCGUAGAUAUUCGCAAGAACACCAGUGGCGAAGGCGGCUCACUGGCCCCGGAACUG